GACGAACGCUGGCGGCGUGCUUAACACAUGCCAGUCGAACGGAAAGGCCCUGCUUUUGUGGGGUGCUCGAGUGGCGAACGGGUGAGUAACACGUGAGUAACCUGCCCUUGACUUUGGGAUAACUUCAGGAAACUGGGGCUAAUACCGGAUAGGAGCUCCUGCUGCAUGGUGGGGGUUGGAAAGUUUCGGCGGUUGGGGAUGGACUCGCGGCUUAUCAGCUUGUUGGUGGGGUAGUGGCUUACCAAGGCUUUGACGGGUAGCCGGCCUGAGAGGGUGACCGGCCACAUUGGGACUGAGAUACGGCCCAGACUCCUACGGUAGGCAGCAGUGGGGAAUAUUGCACAAUGGGCGGGAGCCUGAUGCAGCGACGCCGCGUGCGGGAUGACGGCCUUCGGGUUGUAAACCGCUUUCGCCUGUGACGAAGCGUGAGUGACGGUAAUGGGUAAAGAAGCACCGGCUAACUACGUG
rnacentral:rRNA from 1 species